AGAGUUUGAUCAUGGCUCAGGAUGAACGCUAGCUACAGGCUUAACACAUGCAAGUCGAGGGGCAGCAUGGUCUUAGCUUGCUAAGGCCGAUGGCGACCGGCGCACGGGUGAGUAACACGUAUCCAACCUGCCGUCUACUCUUGGACAGCCUUCUGAAAGGAAGAUUAAUACAAGAUGGCAUCAUGAGUCCGCAUGUUCACAUGAUUAAAGGUAUUCCGGUAGACGAUGGGGAUGCGUUCCAUUAGAUAGUAGGCGGGGUAACGGCCCACCUAGUCUUCGAUGGAUAGGGGUUCUGAGAGGAAGGUCCCCCACAUUGGAACUGAGACACGGUCCAAACUCCUACGGGAGGCAGCAGUGAGGAAUAUUGGUCAAUGGGCGAGAGCCUGAACCAGCCAAGUAGCGUGAAGGAUGACUGCCCUAUGGGUUGUAAACUUCUUUUAUAAAGGAAUAAAGUCGGGUAUGCAUACCCGUUUGCAUGUACUUUAUGAAUAAGGAUCGGCUAACUCCGUGCCAGCAGCCGCGGUAAUACGGAGGAUCCGAGCGUUAUCCGGAUUUAUUGGGUUUAAAGGGAGCGUAGAUGGAUGUUUAAGUCAGUUGUGAAAGUUUGCGGCUCAACCGUAAAAUUGCAGUUGAUACUGGAUAUCUUGAGUGCAGUUGAGGCAGGCGGAAUUCGUGGUGUAGCGGUGAAAUGCUUAGAUAUCACGAAGAACUCCGAUUGCGAAGGCAGCCUGCUAAGCUGCAACUGACAUUGAGGCUCGAAAGUGAGGGUAUCAAACAGGAUUAGAUACCCUGGUAGUCCACACGGUAAACGAUGAAUACUCGCUGUUUGCGAUAUACAGCAAGCGGCCAAGCGAAAGCGUUAAGUAUUCCACCUGGGGAGUACGCCGGCAACGGUGAAACUCAAAGGAAUUGACGGGGGCCCGCACAAGCGGAGGAACAUGUGGUUUAAUUCGAUGAUACGCGAGGAACCUUACCCGGGCUUAAAUUGCAGAUGAAUUACGGUGAAAGCCGUAAGCCGCAAGGCAUCUGUGAAGGUGCUGCAUGGUUGUCGUCAGCUCGUGCCGUGAGGUGUCGGCUUAAGUGCCAUAACGAGCGCAACCCUUGUUGUCAGUUACUAACAGGUCAUGCUGAGGACUCUGACAAGACUGCCAUCGUAAGAUGUGAGGAAGGUGGGGAUGACGUCAAAUCAGCACGGCCCUUACGUCCGGGGCUACACACGUGUUACAAUGGGGGGUACAGAGGGCCGCUACCACGCGAGUGGAUGCCAAUCCCAAAAACCUCUCUCAGUUCGGACUGGAGUCUGCAACCCGACUCCACGAAGCUGGAUUCGCUAGUAAUCGCGCAUCAGCCACGGCGCGGUGAAUACGUUCCCGGGCCUUGUACACACCGCCCGUCAAGCCAUGGGAGCCGGGGGUACCUGAAGUGCGUAACCGCGAGGAGCGCCCUAGGGUAAAACUGGUGACUGGGGCUAAGUCGUAACAAGGUA
rnacentral:rRNA from 1 species